rnacentral:rRNA from 1 species
AUUGAACGCUGGCGGAAUGCUUUACACAUGCAAGUCGAACGGCAGCACGGGAGCUUGCUCCUGGUGGCGAGUGGCGAACGGGUGAGUAAUACAUCGGAACGUACCCAGUUAUGGGGGAUAACUAACCGAAAGGUUAGCUAAUACCGCAUACGCCCUGAGGGGAAAGCGGGGACCGUAAGGCCUCGCGUAAUUGGAGCGGC